AGGACGAACGCUGGCGGCGCGCUUAACACAUGCAAGUCGAACGUGAAGCUGGAGCUUGCUCCGGUGGAAAGUGGCGAACGGGUGCGUAACACGUGAGCAACCUGCCCCGAAGACUGGGAUAACACCGGGAAACCGGUGCUAAUACCGGAUACCUUCUUCCGAUCGCAUGGUUGGAUGAAGAAAUGGAUUCCGCUUCGGGAUGGGCUCGCGGCCUAUCAGCUUGUUGGUGAGGUAACGGCCCACCAAGGCGACGACGGGUAGCUGGUCUGAGAGGACGACCAGCCACACUGGGACUGAGACACGGCCCAGACUCCUACGGGAGGCAGCAGUGGGGAAUCUUGCUCAAUGGGCGAAAGCCUGAAGCAGCGACGCCGCGUGCGGGAUGAAGGCCCUCGGGUUGUAAACCGCUUUCAGCAGGGACGAAAUUGACGGUACCUGCAGAGAAGGCCCGGCAACUACGCGCCAGCAGCCGCGGUAA
rnacentral:rRNA from 1 species